rnacentral:rRNA from 1 species
GAUGAACGCUGGCGGCGUGCCUAACACAUGCAAGUCGAACGGGGUUAUUCCUUCGGGGAAUAACUUAGUGGCGAACGGGUGAGUAACACGUGAGCAACCUGCCUCUCAGAGGGGGAUAACGUUUGGAAACGAACGCUAAUACCGCAUAACGUACAGUUUUGGCAUCAUUACUGUACCAAAGGAGCAAUCCGCUGAGAGAUGGCCUCGCGUCUGAUUAGCUAGUUGGUGAGGUAACGGCCCACCAAGGCGACGAUCAGUAGCCGGACUGAGAGGUUGACCGGCCACAUUGGGACUGAGAUACGGCCCAGACUCCUACGGGAGGCAGCAGUGGGGAAUAUUGGGCAAUGGGCGCAAGCCUGACCCAGCAACGCCGCGUGAAGGAAGAAGGCUUUCGGGUUGUAAACUUCUUUUGUCGAGGAAGAGUAGAAGACUGUACUCGGCGAAUAAGCCACGGCUAACUACGUG